rnacentral:rRNA from 1 species
GAUGAACGCUGGCGGCGUGCCUAAUACAUGCAAGUCGAGCGAACAGACGAGGAGCUUGCUCCUCUGACGUUAGCGGCGGACGGGUGAGUAACACGUGGAUAACCUACCUAUAAGACUGGGAUAACUUCGGGAAACCGGAGCUAAUACCGGAUAAUAUAUUGAACCGCAUGGUUCAAUAGUGAAAGACGGUUUUGCUGUCACUUAUAGAUGGAUCCGCGCCGCAUUAGCUAGUUGGUAAGGUAACGGCUUACCAAGGCAACGAUGCGUAGCCGACCUGAGAGGGUGAUCGGCCACACUGGAACUGAGACACGGUCCAGACUCCUACGGGAGGCAGCAGUAGGGAAUGUUCCGCAAUGGGCGAAAGCCUGACGGAGCAACGCCGCGUGAGUGAUGAAGGUCUUCGGAUCGUAAAACUCUGUUAUUAGGGAAAAACAAAUGUGUAAGUAACUAUGCACGUCUUGACGGUACCUAAUCAGAAAGCCACGGCUAACUACGUG